AUGCCCAAAGUAUCCCAAAACCCCUCAGAGGCUCCAGAUGUGGCAGCAGAAACCCCAAAUCCAGAUGUGCUAUGGGCCAGAAAUGGGCACCGGACGCUGCAGGUGGACAGUGACACAGAUGUGGAGGAGGAGGGGCCAAGCCCAGAUGCUGGGCCACAGAAAUGGCUUAAAAUGACCCAAAAUGUGCCUGAAACUCCAGAUGUGAGGCUAAAAACCCCAAAUCCAGAUGUUCCAUGGCUUAAAAGUGGGCGUGGCACGCUGCUGGUGGAGAGCGACACAGAUGUGGAGGAGGAGGAGGCUGAUCCAGAAGUGGAGCCCCCAGAACGGCUGAAAAUUACCCAGAACGUCCCGGAAACUCCAGAUGUUGCAGGAAAGACCCCAAAUCCAGAUGUUGCAGGCCCAAAAAUACGACACAGGGUGGAGCUGGUGGACAGUGACACAGAUGUGGACGAGGAUCCAGAUGUGCAGCCCCAGAAAAGGCUUAAAGUGACCCAAAACGUGCCUGGAAUUCCAGAUGUGGAGGUGGAAACCUCAAGUCCAGCUGUGAGGGCGCCCAAAAUUGGACACUGGGUAAUCCUGAUGGACAGCGACACAGAUGUGGAGGGGGAGGAGCAGAAUCCAGAUGUGCAGCCCCAAAAACAACUCAGAAUGCCCCAAAAUGUGUCCGAAACUCCAGAUGUGGCAGCAAAACGCCUGAAUCCAGAUGUUUCGGGCCCAAAACUCUGUUCUCAGAUGCUGCUGGUGGACAGUGAUACAGAUGUGGAAGACGAAGUGAAUCCAGAUGUGCAGCCCCCUAAAAGGCUCAAAGUGACCCAAAACGUGCACAGAAAUCCAGAUGUGGAGGUGGCGACCCCAAAUCCAGCUGUGGAGAGCCCCAGAAUUGGCCUCCAGACACUGGUGGAGGACAGCGACACAGAUGUGGAGGACGAUCCAGAUGUGCAGCCCCCAAAAAGGCUCAGAAGGACUCAGCACUUGCCCAAAGCUCCAGCUGUGCGACGGGGGAUGCAAAAUCCAGAUGUUCCAGUCCCCACAAUCAGGAGCCAGAUGCUGCUGGUGGACAGCGACACAGAUGUGGAGGAGGAUCCAGAUGUGCAGCCCCUGAAACAGCUCAGAGCGACCCAAAACAUCCCCGAAACGCCAGAUGUGGCUGCGAAGCCCCCAAAUCCAGAUGUUUCAGGCCCUGAAAUCAGGUGCCAGGCAUUCCUGGUGGACAGUGACACAGAUGUGGAGGAGGAGGAGGAGGUGAGUCCAGAUGCUGAGACCCUCAAAAAACUUGGAAUGACCCAAAAUGUGCUUGAAAGUCCAGAUGUGGUGGCACAGACCCCAAGCCCAGAUGUUGGAAUGACCCAAAAUGGGUAUCGGGCACUGCUGGUGGACAGUGACACAGAUGUGGAGGAGGAUGAGGUGAAUCCAGAUGUUUGUCAUUCAAAAAGAUGGAAGAUUCCUCAAAAUGUGCCCCAGACUCCAGAUGUGCCCCCACAGCCCCCAAAUCCAGCUGUGAAGAGGUCACGGAGGGGUCACGGGGUGCUGCUGGAUGACAGCGACACAGAUGUGGACGAGGAGGCAAAGCCAGAUGUUGGAUCCUUAAAAAGAUUGAAACCAGCCCCAAACGUGCCUGAAACUCCAGAUGUGAGGCUGAAAAAUCCAGAUGUUGGGAGGCUCCAAGAGACCCAAACUGUGGCCGAGACGCCAGAUGCGGAGGGAGAGGAGGAAGGGUGGGAUCCAGAUGUGGCCACCCAGCUGUUCCUGCCCCCAAAUCCAGAUGUGGGGGAGGCCGAGGCGGACCCAGAUGUUGGGAGCCCAGAACGACUCAAAAUGACCCAGAAGCCCCCGGAAAUUCCAGAUGUGGAGGAGGAAGAGGAGUCAGAUCCAGAUGUGGCCACCCAGCUGUUCCUGCCUUCUCCAGAUGUUGGGAGCCCAGAAGGCCCCAAAACGGCCCCAAAGGACCCCAAAGUUCCAGAUGUAGAGGGGCUGCCCUCUCUGGAUCCAGAUGUGGCCACACAGCUGUUCCUGCCUCCACAUCCAGGUGUGGAGGACAGCCUAAAUCCAGAUGUUCUGGGUCCAAAACAAUCCAAAAUGGCCUCAAAUGACCCCAAGAUUCCCGCUGUGAGGGUGGAGACCCCAGAUCCAGAUGUGGAGGGGGAGGAGGACUUGGAUGUGGCCACCCAGCUGUUCCUGCCCCCUGAUCCAGAUGUGCAGGGGGAAGGACCCUCAGAACGAGGUGUUGGGUCCCCAAACCCACCCAAAAGUGCCCUAAACCUGCCCGACAUUCCAGAUGUGGACAUGGAGAGACCAAAUCCAGAUGUGGGGGAGUCACUGAGGGGCCACAGGACAUUGCUGGGGGAUGCUGAUCCAGAUGUGGGGAAGGUGGGCCCAAAUCCAGAUGUGGCAGCCUCAAAAAGACCCCAAACGGCCCCGGAAGUCCCUGAAAUUCCAGAUGUGGAGGUGGACACCCCAAGUCCAGAUGUGGACGGGCCGGGGAGCCCUGGCCUGAAUCCAGAUGUGGCCACCCAGCUGUUCCUGCCCCCUGCCCCAGAUGUGGAACCCCUGGAAAGACCCGAAAGGGCCCCGGACCAGCCCCAGGUUCCAGAUGUGGAGGAGGCGGCCCCAAAUCCAGAUGUGGAGGGUCCCCCAAGCCCCGCCCAGGAGGAAGCAGAAGCUCCGCCCACCCCACAGGUGAAUUUUGGGGGGUCCAGAGUGAUUUUUGGGGUCUCUGGUCCAUUUGGGAGCCCCCUGGGGAUUCAGGGAGGGUUCCAGGUGGAUUUUUUGGGGUUUCCCGUGAAUUUGGGGGGUCCCAGGUAGAAUUUUGGGGUUCCCGGUGGAUUUUGGGAGACCCAGGGUGGUUUGGGGGGGUCUCAGGUGAAUUUUUUGGGUGAUUUUUGGGGGGUCCCAGGUGGAAUUUAGGGCGAAUUUGGGGAUUUUGGGGGUGGCCGGUGGAUUUUGGCGGUUCCUGGGAGGGUUUUGUGGAUCCCCAAUGGAAUUUGGGGUGAAUUUGGGGGAUUUGUGGNUUUCUUUGGGCCUCAAAAUCACAAUUUGGGUUCAAAACCUCUUUCCCAAAGCUAAAAAAAAAAAAAAAUCGCUUUUUAGUGUUAAAAACUCCAAUUUGAAACGUUUUGGAAAAGAAAGAUUUCAGCGUGGGGCAGGAAAUGGAAAUGUUCAUUUCGGGGGCAGGAAAUGCGGUCUGGAGACACAAAGAGAGGGGGAUGGGGCUGAAAAGGACGAUUUUGCGACAACAAGCAACAUUUAAAAAAGAAAAAAACUAAGAACUAUUGGGUUAAAGGAGGCCGUUUUGUGGGUGAAGUGGAUAUUCAGAGGGAAAAAGGGAUUUUUGAAGCAUAAAAAUGACAUUUGGGUCGGAAAAAUUGCAAAUUUCGAGGCCCAAAACAAAAUUUUUUGGGCAAAAAAUCACCAGUUUGUGCAAAAAAAAAAAAAAGAAAAAAAAAGAAAAAAAGAGAAAAAUUUAAACAAACCCCGUUAAUUUUGGAGAAAAAGCGGCGAUUUUGAGGCUAGAAAAAAGCGGAUUUGGAAGCACAAAGCUGCGAUUCUUCCCCCGACCCUCCAUUUUGGGGCUGGAAACCUCCAUUUUGGGGCUGGGAGCUCCCUCCGAGCUGCAGAAAAUCCCGAUUUUAACCCUCAUUUCUACUUCUGGAAAAUAAAUCCAGUCCUUUUUCUCCUCCA
ensembl:lncRNA